rnacentral:lncRNA from 1 species
UUGACCAAUCAAUUCAAAAAUCUGAUCGAUUUUAAAUCCAAAAAUCUAUCCGAUUUAACCAUUCACAUAAUUUUUAUUUAAAACAGACGCACUAAACGAUUCAGCCAUUUAACUCUAAACAAACACUCCUAAACUAGAAACAAAUGUUAUGACAAAUUGUACCAUGUAUAGCUGUUUUCUAUGAAAACAUCAAGAAAAAUAAAUUAGACUUGCUCUCGUAUUGUUUUAGCAAAUAUUCAGAUAGUAAUUCUUAUGAUACAUCCUUGUCAAAUAGUGGGGUGAAGUACCAGGGAAAUCUGAUGAUGCCCCCCUAGCCAACCCCUGUUUUAAUAGCUGUCUAAUAUAAUGAUAAACAUCAUGGAGAAGGGUUCUUUUGAGCUGCUAACUUUCCUUGCAACAUAAAUCAAGAUCCCUCGAAAAAAUUCAGAUCUGGAGCGCAUCUGCAAUAGAUCCAGAGAGACUCAAAAUUUCAAAAGAAGCUUGGUUAGCUAUAACCUUCACAGUUUGGGGGCAUGAAUCGGUGAUUCAAAAGUAGGUAAAUACCUUCUCCGAGUCUGAUGACAAAGUUUUCUGGCCGGAAGCUUUAGGCCAGAGUUGAUGUAUCUGAUUUCGUCCGGAGCUUAGAGAGAGAGAGAGACGCGAUUUGUGAAAUGGGUGAGAGAGAGACGCGGGUUGUGAAAUGGAAAUGGUCUCUCAGAUCUGAAUAACCAGUGACCCGUUCAAAUCUGGAGCUCCGCAAUUUUUUUUUCCAAACAAGUUUCUUUCUCAACUUAUUAUUAAUAUUUAAUCAAC